UACGGAGGGGGCUAGCGUUGUUCGGAAUUACUGGGCGUAAAGCGCACGUAGGCGGACGGAGAAGUCAGAGGUGAAAUCCCAGGGCUCAACCUUGGAACUGCCUUUGAAACUUUCUGUCUUGAGGUCGUGAGAGGUGAGUGGAAUUCCGAGUGUAGAGGUGAAAUUCGUAGAUAUUCGGAGGAACACCAGUGGCGAAGGCGGCUCACUGGCACGAUACUGACGCUGAGGUGCGAAAGCGUGGGGAGCAAACAGG
rnacentral:rRNA from 1 species